rnacentral:rRNA from 1 species
CCUACGGGGGGCUGCAGUGAGGAAUAUUGGUCAAUGGGCGCGAGCCUGAACCAGCCAAGUAGCGUGAAGGAUGACUGCCCUACGGGUUGUAAACUUCUUUUAUAAAGGAAUACAGUGAGGCACGUGUGCCUUUUUGUAUGUACUUUAUGAAUAAGGAUCGGCUAACUCCGUGCCAGCAGCCGCGGUAAUACGGAGGAUCCGAGCGUUAUCCGGAUUUAUUGGGUUGAAAGGGAGCGGAGAUGGGUUGUUAAGUCAGGUGUGAAAGGUUGCGGCUCAACCCUAAAAUUGCAAUUGAUACUGGCAGUCUAGAGUACAGUUGAGGUAGGCGGAAUUCGUGGUGUAGCGGUGAAAUGCUUAGAUAUCACGAAGAACUCCGAUGGCGAAGGCAGCUUACUAAACUGCCACUGACAUUGAUGCUCGAAAGUGUGGGUAUCAAACAGGAUUAGAUACCCCUGUAGUC